GAUUUUUUACGAUUUCGGUCCGCCGUUUUGGAAUUCCCCAAGAGAACCAUAUUUUGACAAACAACUACAAACGGCGAUGUCAACCGCUUGAAUGAACAAACUUACGUUGAAAAUAUCGUCGAAGAGCUGAGAGUUGGGCUGUGGCUUCAAAAAGUAUAAAUUUUGUCCAUAAUUUCCAGUUCCGUAACUACUCCCCUCUCUACUCCCACUCUCAAUAAUUUGAGAACAAGUUUUUCUGAUCCUAGUGACCAGAAUCCCUGCCGCUGUUUUGCCACCACUCCACAGGAUCUGCUUUUAUAUCACGAAGCGCAUUGUGAGCUGGACUCUGAACAGGAUUACACUAUUUCAAACCCGAUGAUCGGUACACGUUUUCGAAUCUUCCUUAUUUCCGCCAACUCGAUUCCCGGCACUGCUUAAAAUACCGCGUUUAAAACUUCACGCGCAACGCAGCUGUGAAAUCGAAAAAUGAAACUUUACAACGUCCGCGGAUCGAUCCAAUUUUCAAAACCGAUAAUGAUACACAUUC
rnacentral:misc_RNA from 1 species